rnacentral:tRNA from 1 species
GAGGGUACAGUUCAAGUGGUAGAGAGUGUGCUUAGCAUGCACGAGGCCCUGGGUUCAACUCCCAGUACCUCCA